UUGCAGAUUUAAAAAGUAACAGUGAUAGUCCGCAUGUCGCUAUUCUACUACAGAGGGAACUUUCGCGACGCUGGUUCUGUUCUCUUUAAUGUUCGGAAUCAAGCAACUCAUCACAAAACGGGUAAGCGUGUAUUUCGGCCGGUUAUUGGUUAAUUCUGAUAGUAUUGCGGUUAUUUAAUAAUGCUUAAUUAUUGUAGUAUUUGAUUAUUAGUUGUAUCGUUUAAUUCGUCGUAGGUAGAAAUCGUCUCACCGUAUAAAUUGAUCGUAUAAAAAGUGAAUGAUUAGAAGAAUCAACCGCAGGUUAUGUCUGUACAGCAAGGGCUCCUGAACUGUGAUCCUCUACUUCUCCAGAAGGAUCAUCUGUAUGACACUACCUACCGCCGCUGUUACUUUCAGUGUCUUUAAGCAUCUACCUAUUCAUGACGAAAGAUUGCCGCCUAUAAUGUUUGCUCGG